rnacentral:rRNA from 1 species
GACGAACGCUGGCGGCGUGCUUAACACAUGCAAGUCGAACGGAAAGGCCCUGCUUUUGUGGGGUGCUCGAGUGGCGAACGGGUGAGUAACACGUGAGUAACCUGCCCUUGACUUUGGGAUAACUUCAGGAAACUGGGGCUACUACCGGAUAGGAGCUCCUGCUGCAUGGUGGGGGUUGGAAAGUUUCGGCUGUUGGGGAUGGACUCGCGGCUUAUCAGCUUGUUGGUGGGGUAGUGGCUUACCAAGGCUUUGACGGGUAGCCGGCCUGAGAGGGUGACCGGCGACAUUGGGACUGAGAUACGGCCCAGACUCCUACGGGAGGCAGCAGUGGGGAAUAUUGCACAGUGGGCGGAAGCCUGAUGCAGCAACGCCGCGUGCGGGAUGACGGCCUUCGGGUUGUAAACCGCUUUAGCCUGUGACGAAGCGUGAGUGACGGUAAUGGGUAAAGAAGCACCGGCUAACUACGUG